rnacentral:rRNA from 1 species
UACGUAGGGGGCAAGCGUUGUCCGGAAUCAUUGGGCGUAAAGCGCGUGUAGGCGGCUCGAUAAGUCUGCUGUGAAAGUUCAGGGCUCAACCCUGAAAUGCCGGUGGAAACUGUCGGGCUAGAGUCCGGAAGAGGCGAGUGGAAUUCCUGGUGUAGCGGUGAAAUGCGCAGAUAUCAGGAAGAACACCCGUGGCUAAGGCGGCUCUCUAGUACGGUACUGACGCUGAGACACGAAAGCGUGGGUAGCAAACAGG